GAUGAACGCUGGCGGCGUGCCUAAUACAUGCAAGUCGAGCGAGUGGAUUAAGAGCUUGCUCUUAUGAAGUUAGCGGCGGACGGGUGAGUAACACGUGGGUAACCUGCCCAUAAGACUGGGAUAACUCCGGGAAACCGGGGCUAAUACCGGAUAACAUUUUGAACCGCAUGGUUCGAAAUUGAAAGGCGGCUUCGGCUGUCACUUAUGGAUGGACCCGCGUCGCAUUAGCUAGUUGGUGAGGUAACGGCUCACCAAGGCAACGAUGCGUAGCCGACCUGAGAGGGGGAUCGGCCACGCUGGGACUGAGACACGGCCCAGACUCCUACUGGAGGCAGCAGUAGGGAAUCUUCCGCAAUGGACGAAAGUCUGACGGAGCAACGCCGCGUGAGUGAUGAAGGCUUUCGGGUCGUAAAACUCUGUUGUUAGGGAAGAACAAGUGCUAGUUGAAUAAGCUGGCACCUUGACGGUACCUAACCAGAAAGCCACGGCUAACUACGUGCCAGCCGCCGCCGUAA
rnacentral:rRNA from 1 species